GCCUGGGUGGCUCAGUCGGUUGAGCGUCUGACUUCGGUUCAGGUCAUGAUCUCGCGGUCCGUGAGUUUGAGCCCCACGUCAGGCC
rnacentral:tRNA from 1 species